GCAGCGGUGGUCUAGUGGUCAAGACGCCUCAGCAAUAUCGUCUUGCAAACACAAGCGAUGGUUCACACUGCGUGCCCUUGCACUGCUUGCUCCUUCGGGAAUCGUGUGCCGCUGGUGAGGAGAUCGCGAGUUCGACUCUCGCUCGCUGCA
rnacentral:tRNA from 1 species